GAGAGCUUGCUCUCUUGGCGGCGAGUGGCGGACGGGUGAGUAAUAUAUCGGAACGUGCCCAGUAGCGGGGGAUAACUACUCGAAAGAGUGGCUAAUACCGCAUACGCCCUACGGGGGAAAGGGGGGGAUCGCAAGACCUCUCACUAUUGGAGCGGCCGAUAUCGGAUUAGCUAGUUGGUGGGGUAAAGGCUCACCAAGGCAACGAUCCGUAGCUGGUUUGAGAGGACGACCAGCCACACUGGGACUGAGACACGGCCCAGACUCCUACGGGAGGCAGCAGUGGGGAAUUUUGGACAAUGGGGGAAACCCUGAUCCAGCCAUCCCGCGUGUAUGAUGAAGGCCUUCGGGUUGUAAAGUACUUUUGGCAGAGAAGAAAAGGUAUCCCCUAAUACGGGAUACUGCUGACGGUAUCUGCAGAAUAAGCACCGGCUAACUACGUGCCAGCAGCCGCGGUAAUACGUAGGGUGCAAGCGUUAAUCGGAAUUACUGGGCGUAAAGCGUGUGUAGGCGGUUCGGAAAGAAAGAUGUGAAAUCCCAGGGCUCAACCUUGGAACUGCAUUUUUAACUGCCGAGCUAGAGUAUGUCAGAGGGGGGUAGAAUUCCACGUGUAGCAGUGAAAU
rnacentral:rRNA from 1 species